AUACACGGAGCGGGUGAAAAGGGAAACAGGUGAGAAUCCUGUGCGAACUCGUCACUGUAUGCAGGGAGUAUCCGUCCACAAGGCCACUGGGAGACCGGGAAGGCGGCCGGAUAUGGAGAUCUGCGAGUCAGGAGACCUGCCUGUGGG
rnacentral:ncRNA from 1 species